AUGGGCAGCAACAUCGACUCGCUGAUCUGCCCCGCUAUGGCCUUGGAGGUCUCCCUGCCAGCCAUGGAGGUGAGCCCCCACCUGCAAGGACUUUGCGCUGCCAUGCUGGAACCCUCCGUCUCUGUGCCUGGCUCCGGUGAGCUCCUUCCUAGGCCGCCCCCUUCUUCUCUCCCUGCUGCGGAUGCCAUGAAUCUGCCCAGAAAGCCGCGAUCUGGCCUUGGUGCGUCGAGUGGCAUGGUCCGCGCACGCGAGACGCGUUGCCGCCGCUGCCGUCCCCAUGCAUCUCUUGGACUUGGGACGGGAAGAAGGCUGCCGGGGAGGUCGAAGAUCGAGGGAGAGGGAGGAGCUGGAGAGAUGGAGACCGUGCUCCCGGCGUGGAAUUUGGCCACGGACUCGGCGAGGAAUGCAGUGGCGCGCCCGCUCGUGCGUGGGAGGAUGAAGGGGAUCAUGCGUGGGGAGGAUAAAGGGAAUCGGAGGAGGCCGGCGGCGUGCGGGGUGAGGUAG
rnacentral:rRNA from 1 species